rnacentral:rRNA from 1 species
GAUUAUGGCUCAGGAUGAACGCUGGCGGCGUGCUUAACACAUGCAAGUCGAACGGGGAUAGCGACGGAAGUCCUUCGGGAUGGAAGAUGCUAUUCGAGUGGCGGACGGGUGAGUAACGCGUGAACAAUCUGUCCCAGACAGGGGGAUAACACUUGGAAACAGGUGCUAAUACCGCAUGAGACCACAGCGUCACAUGGCGCAGGGGUAAAAGGAGCGAUCCGGUUUGGGGUGAGUUCGCGUCCGAUUAGCCAGUUGGCGGGGUAACGGCCCACCAAAGCGACGAUCGGUAGCCGAUCUGAGAGGAUGACCGGCCACAUUGGAACUGAGAGACGGUCCAAACUCCUACGGGAGGCAGCAGUGGGGAAUAUUGGGCAAUGGGCGAAAGCCCUGACCCAGCAACGCCGCGUGAGUGAAGAAGGCCUUCGGGUUGUAAAGCUCUGUUAUAGGGGACGAAGGAAGUGACGGUACCCUAUAAGGAAGCCCCGGCUAACUACGUGCCAGCCGCUGC